rnacentral:rRNA from 1 species
GAUGAACGCUGGCGGCGUGCCUAAUACAUGCAAGUCGAGCGAACGGACGAGAGGCUUGCUUCUCUGAUGUUAGCGGCGGACGGGUGAGUAACACGUGGAUAACCUACCUAUAAGACUGGGAUAACUUCGGGAAACCGGAGCUAAUACCGGAUAAUAUUUUGAACCGCAUGGUUCAAAAGUAAAAGACGGUCUUGCUGUCACUUAUAGAUGGAUCCGCGCUGCAUUAGCUAGUUGGUAAGGUAACGGCUUACCAAGGCAACGAUGCAUAGCCGACCUGAGAGGGUGAUCGGCCACACUGGAACUGAGACACGGUCCAGACUCCUACGGGAGGCAGCAGUAGGGAAUCUUCCGCAAUGGGCGAAAGCCUGACGGAGCAACGCCGCGUGAGUGAUGAAGGUCUUCGGAUCGUAAAACUCUGUUAUUAGGGAAGAAUAUAUGUGUAAGUAACUGUGCACAUCUUGACGGUACCUAAUCAGAAAGCCACGGCUAACUACGUGCCAGCAGCCGCGGUAAUACGUAGGUGGCAAGCGUUAUCCGGAAUUAUUGGGCGUAAAGCGCGCGUAGGCGGUUUUUUAAGUCUGAUGUGAAAGCCCACGGCUCAACCGUGGAGGGUCAUUGGAAACUGGAAAACUUGAGUGCAGAAGAGGAAAGUGGAAUUCCAUGUGUAGCGGUGAAAUGCGCAGAGAUAUGGAGGAACACCAGUGGCGAAGGCGACUUUCUGGUCUGUAACUGACGCUGGUGUGCGAAAGCGUGGGGAUCAAACAGGAUUAGAUACCCUGGUAGUCCACGCCGUAAACGAUGAGUGCUAAGUGUUAGGGGGUUUCCGCCCCUUAGUGCUGCAGCUAACGCAUUAAGCACUCCGCCUGGGGAGUACGACCGCAAGGUUGAAACUCAAAGGAAUUGACGGGGACCCGCACAAGCGGUGGAGCAUGUGGUUUAAUUCGAAGCAACGCGAAGAACCUUACCAAAUCUUGACAUCCUUUGACAACUCUAGAGAUAGAGCCUUCCCCUUCGGGGGACAAAGUGACAGGUGGUGCAUGGUUGUCGUCAGCUCGUGUCGUGAGAUGCUGGGUUAAGUCCCGCAACGAGCGCAACCCUUAAGCUUAGUUGCCAUCAUUAAGUUGGGCACUCUAAGUUGACUGCCGGUGACAAACCGGAGGAAGGUGGGGAUGACGUCAAAUCAUCAUGCCCCUUAUGAUUUGGGCUACACACGUGCUACAAUGGACAAUACAAAGGGCAGCGAAACCGCGAGGUCAAGCAAAUCCCAUAAAGUUGUUCUCAGUUCGGAUUGUAGUCUGCAACUCGACUACAUGAAGCUGGAAUCGCUAGUAAUCGUAGAUCAGCAUGCUACGGUGAAUACGUUCCCGGGUCU